UUUAUGACGCUUUAGAGUCAGCUGAUCUCACUGGCCAUAGCGGGUCCACUGUCCAGGUACCUGGUUUUCUUUGGGAACCAGAUAUGCUACUGCUGCCAGUAAUGCCCUUGAUGUGGUUUCUUACAUUCCUGUUAUCAAUGAUGAUGUGGAUUAGAAAUGGAAUUCGCAAGUGUGCUAUGAAGAAAAUGGCCAAGGACCUCCCUCCAAGAGAAAAGAUAAACCCGAUGCCGCUGGAGCUGAACACUCCAACACACACUGAUAUAUGCACAC
rnacentral:lncRNA from 1 species